rnacentral:tRNA from 1 species
GCGUCCGUAGCUCAGCUGGAUAGAAGUACUGGCUACGAACCAGGCGGUCAGAGGUUCGAAUCCUCUCGGACGCGCCA